rnacentral:rRNA from 1 species
AUUGAACGCUGGCGGCAUGCUUUACACAUGCAAGUCGGACGGCAGCACAGAGAAGCUUGCUUCUUGUGUGGCGAGUGGCGAACGGGUGAGUCAUAUAUCGGAACGUACCGAGUAAUGGGGGAUAACUAAUCGAAAGAUUAGCUACUACCUCAUAUUCUCUGAGGAGGAAAGCAGGGGACCUUCGGGCCUUGCGUUAUUCGAGCGGCCGAUAUCUGCUUAGCUAGUUGGUGGGGUAAAGGCCUACCAAGGCGACGAUCAGUAGCGGGUCUGAGAGGAUGAUCGGCCGCACUGGGACUGAGACACGGACCAGACUCCUACGGGAGGCAGCAGUGGGGAAUGUUGGACAAUGGGCGCAAGCCUGAUACAGCCAUGCCGAGUGUCUGAAGAAGGCCUUCGGGUUGUAAAGGACUUUUGUCAGGGAAGAAAAGGCUGUUGCUAAUACCGACAGCUGAUGACGGUACCUGAAGAAUAAGCACCGGCUAACUACGUG